ensembl:lncRNA
AUGCCCCGUUACCAUGGUAUCCUCCUCAGGUCCCCUCAAGGUGUCCCAGUAUGCCCCGGUUGCUCCCCCUGCAAGUGCCCACAUUGUGUCUCUGAAGGAUAUUCUGGUCCCUUUUGGUUUCCCUGUUGUGUCUUCCCAGGUUGUCCCUUUCAUAUCCCUCAAGCUCUCCCUGUCCCCCUAGAAUGUCCCUGUCAUAUCCCCCUAAGGUGUGCCUGUUCCUACAGUGUGCUGACAGAGGUUCUGCCAGGGCCCCCUGUUGUUCUGGAUGCCUACGAAAGGGUCCUGGAACUGGGCCAGGAGCUAGACCUGAUCCCAGGGCCGCUCUCAGCCCUGUUAGGCAUUGUGCGUCAAACCAUCAUCAUGUGCACAGGUAUGUGCAGGGCUAGGAGAGGAUGGGAGGACACUGCACAGCAAAGGUCUUACCACCGACUCUCCCAAUCCCAGAGACACCCUUACUGGAUGUGGAGGAGUGCUAUACCUACCUCAGUGAGCUGCUGCUGUGCCAUGCUGUGCAUCCCAUCUCCUCGAAACAGUCCUUCGGCAUGCCAAGCUCUAUGGCUACAUCCUCACACCCCAGACCUGCCUUGACCUGACCCUGGUUUAUGUGGGGAGCCCUGAGCGUGGCCAAGAGGUAGAGGUGUCCACUGCCUUCCCCCAGGAGGAAGGAGAGAUCCCUGGGAAUCCCAACAAAGGUGGGAUCUCCCUAACUGGGAGGUUAUGGGGAAAAUGCUGGGAAUUCAGGGGGCUGGAGCAAGAUAGGGCAAUGAAAGGGACCGUAGUGUAAGUGGGGGCACACCCUCCUAUCUGGGGUGCACUGUAGGAUCUCAGAGGAAUGGAGGAUCAUGUGGAGGGUCAUGGGAGGUACCUGUGGGCACCCAGUGGUCUGGAGGGGUCAAAUGACACCUUAGGGUUAUAAGGAGGGUCAUGUGAAGUACAACAGCAUCUGGUUGCAUCAAGGGGGGCACUUAGGAUCAUGAGGUGUUUGGAGAGGACUGGACGGCACGCCAGGACUAUGGAUGGCCCUGGGAACCCACAGGAUCAGGCCAUACCUUGCUCCAUGUCCACCUGCUCCCCUGGUUCCACCAUGUCUUUCACUGUCCAGUAGCGGCUUCAUCCUGAGCCCUGUCUUCUCGAUGUCCUGCUUUGUUCCUGGUAGAACAUGUCCCUUGUUUUCACAGUCCUGCUGUAUCCUUUGCCAGGCCCUUAACAUGCCCUCUCCCUGUGUUCCCUGGAUCCCUCUUCCCCAGUCACUGGUUCCAAGCCCUAACUCCUGACCUCUGUUACCCUCUAUGCCCUGUCUGCAUGCACCCCAGUUUUAGUCUCUGACCUCUGCUCACUUACAUCCCCUCCUUGUCCCCAUGUCCCCCUGUGUAUUCCCUGUGUCCCUGGUGUCAGGCCCUGCGCCCUGUCUUCCUGUGCCUCCUGUUCCCCUGUCUCUGAUGCCUGGCCAUGACCUGUGUGCCUGUGUCCUCAGGGUCUUCAUUACAGGAGGUAGUAGUGGCUGAGCUGGUCCAGGUAGCUCAAGUUUGGAGCCAAGAUGUGGAGGCAGAGCUCCUGUGUGGUCAUGAUCAACGUGGGACCUGCCUGUCCCCUGCAGAGAUAAGCAUGACCAAGGAGGAUGCCUCUGGGUCCCACCAGACCUCCCCCAGGGGCAAGAAACACCUUGGAAAACCCCAGGGAUCUUGCCAGGGAAAUAAAGGCCUUGGACUGUGCCA